AGUUAAUGAACUUGUUUAAGUAUAUAUUUUGAAAAUAUAAAAAAGAAGUAAUAAUCUUCUAUUAACUU
rnacentral:tRNA from 1 species